rnacentral:rRNA from 1 species
GACGAACGCUGGCGGCGUGCUUAACACAUGCAAGUCGAACGAUGAACCCGGAGCUUGCUCCGGCGGAUUAGUGGCGAACGGGUGAGUAACACGUGAGUAACCUGCCCUUGACUCUGGGAUAACUGCGGGAAACUGUAGCUAAUACCGGAUACGACCCUCGGCGGCAUCGCCAGGGGGUGGAAAGAAUUUCGGUCAAGGAUGGACUCGCGGCCUAUCAGCUAGUUGGUGAGGUAACGGCUCACCAAGGCGACGACGGGUAGUCGGCCUGAGAGGGUGACCGGCCACACUGGGACUGAGACACGGCCCAGGCUCCUACGGGAGGCAGCAGUGGGGAAUAUUGCACAAUGGGCGCAAGCCUGAUGCAACAACGCCGCGUGAGGGAUGACGGCCUUCGGGUUGUAAACCUCUUUUAGUAGGGAAGAAGCGAAAGUGACGGUACCUGCAGAAAAAGCACCGGCUAACUACGUGCCAGCAGCCGCGGUAA